rnacentral:rRNA from 1 species
GAGGAAUAUUGGUCAAUGGGCGAGAGCCUGAACCAGCCAGGUAGCGUGCAGGAAGACGGCCCUAUGGGUUGUAAACUGCUUUUGUAUGGGGAUAAAGACAAUCACGUGUGAUUGUUUGCAGGUACCAUACGAAUAAGGACCGGCUAAUUCCGUGCCAGCAGCCGCGGUAAUACGGAAGGUCCGGGCGUUAUCCGGAUUUAUUGGGUUUAAAGGGAGCGUAGGCUGGAGAUUAAGUGUGUUGUGAAAUGUAGACGCUCAACGUCUGACUUGCAGCGCAUACUGGUUUCCUUGAGUACGCACAACGUUGGCGGAAUUCGUCGUGUAGCGGUGAAAUGCUUAGAUAUGACGAAGAACUCCGAUUGCGAAGGCAGCUGACGGGAGCGCAACUGACGCUGAAGCUCGAAGGUGCGGGUAUCGAACAGGAUUAGAUACCCUGGUAGUCCGCACAGUAAACGAUGGAUGCCCGCUGUUGGUACCUGGUAUCAGCGGCUAAGCGAAAGCAUUAAGCAUCCCACCUGGGGAGUACGCCGGCAACGGUG